AUGUUCACUGCAGCAUUAUUUACUAUAGCCAAGACUUGGAAACAACUUAAGUAUCCAUUGACUGAUGAGUGGCUAAAGAUGUGGUAUAUAU